rnacentral:rRNA from 1 species
GAUGAACGCUGGCGGCGUGCCUAAUACAUGCAAGUCGAGCGAAUGGAUUAAGAGCUUGCUCUUAUGAAGUUAGCGGCGGACGGGUGAGUAACACGUGGGUAACCUGCCCAUAAGACUGGGAUAACUCCGGGAAACCGGGGCUAAUACCGGAUAAUAUUUUGAACUGCAUGGUUCAAAAUUGAAGGGCGGCUUCGGCUGUCACUUUUGGAUGGACCCGCGUCGCAUUAGCUAGUUGGUGAGGUAACGGCUCACCAAGGCAACGAUGCGUAGCCGACCUGAGAGGGUGAUCGGCCACACUGGGACUGAGACACGGCCCAGACUCCUACGGGAGGCAGCAGUAGGGAAUCUUCCGCAAUGGACGAAAGUCUGACGGAGCAACGCCGCGUGAGUGAUGAAGGCUUUCGGGUCGUAAAACUCUGUUGUUAGGGAAGAACAAGUGCUAGUUGAAUAAGCUGGCACCUUGACGGUACCUAACCAGAAAGCCACGGCUAACUACGUGCCAGCCGCCGCGGUAA